rnacentral:rRNA from 1 species
GGGUUGUGAGGUUAAGCGACUAAGCGUACACGGUGGAUGCCCUGGCAGUCAGAGGCGAUGAAGGACGUGCUAAUCUGCGAUAAGCGUCGGUAAGGUGAUAUGAACCGUUAUAACCGGCGAUUUCCGAAUGGGGAAACCCAGUGUGUUUCGACACACUAUCAUUAACUGAAUCCAUAGGUUAAUGAGGCGAACCGGGGGAACUGAAACAUCUAAGUACCCCGAGGAAAAGAAAUCAACCGAGAUUCCCCCAGUAGCGGCGAGCGAACGGGGAGGAGCCCAGAGCCUGAAUCAGUGUGUGUGUUAGUGGAAGCGUCUGGAAAGGCGCGCGAUACAGGGUGACAGCCCCGUACACAAAAAUGCACAUGCUGUGAGCUCGAUGAGUAGGGCGGGACACGUGGUAUCCUGUCUGAAUAUGGGGGGACCAUCCUCCAAGGCUAAAUACUCCUGACUGACCGAUAGUGAACCAGUACCGUGAGGGAAAGGCGAAAAGAACCCCGGCGAGGGGAGUGAAAAAGAACCUGAAACCGUGUACGUACAAGCAGUGGGAGCACGCUUAGGCGUGUGACUGCGUACCUUUUGUAUAAUGGGUCAGCGACUUAUAUUCUGUAGCAAGGUUAACCGAAUAGGGGAGCCGAAGGGAAACCGAGUCUUAACUGGGCGUUAAGUUGCAGGGUAUAGACCCGAAACCCGGUGAUCUAGCCAUGGGCAGGUUGAAGGUUGGGUAACACUAACUGGAGGACCGAACCGACUAAUGUUGAAAAAUUAGCGGAUGACUUGUGGCUGGGGGUGAAAGGCCAAUCAAACCGGGAGAUAGCUGGUUCUCCCCGAAAGCUAUUUAGGUAGCGCCUCGUGAAUUCAUCUCCGGGGGUAGAGCACUGUUUCGGCAAGGGGGUCAUCCCGACUUACCAACCCGAUGCAAACUGCGAAUACCGGAGAAUGUUAUCACGGGAGACACACGGCGGGUGCUAACGUCCGUCGUGAAGAGGGAAACAACCCAGACCGCCAGCUAAGGUCCCAAAGUCAUGGUUAAGUGGGAAACGAUGUGGGAAGGCCCAGACAGCCAGGAUGUUGGCUUAGAAGCAGCCAUCAUUUAAAGAAAGCGUAAUAGCUCACUGGUCGAGUCGGCCUGCGCGGAAGAUGUAACGGGGCUAAACCAUGCACCGAAGCUGCGGCAGCGACGCUGAUGCGUUGUUGGGUAGGGGAGCGUUCUGUAAGCCUGUGAAGGUGU